ACUCUUAUAAAACCUGAAGUCGUCAGCUUGACUUAAAGUGGCCUCCUGGUACAAGAGUCACAGUUUAUUCAGUGGAUUUUAGGAUAAUAACUGCAGAAAGUCCAGCAACACUAUCCAGGCACACCACAUGAUCUCUGACCAGACCUGGUUCUGCGCCUGAGUAGACUGGAGCUCCAGACCUAGCUGAAGAAAAGCAGCCCAGAAAUACGAUGCUCCCACCACCAUGCUUCACCGUGCCUAUGAUGUUCUUACGGCGCGUCUCGUCAGACCACAACACAUUUUGCCACAUGAUUUGGAGUGAUUUAAGCAGGAUUGGGUUUUUGUUUGCAAAGGGUUUCCGUCCAGCUGCUCUACCUCCUAGUCCAGAUAGAUGAAAAAUACAAAAGGCUCCUACAUGCAGGAAGUGACCAGUACAUGCCAGACAUCCUGGCACUUGGCAUCCUCCCUGGUCAUUUUUUUUUAUCUUUUGACAUUAAAGGGCGGUGUCCUGCUCUUUUAACGUGUCUAUGAUGCCAUAGUCAUAAUUAUGGCCUUCACAGUGUUAGAUGGUACAUUAAAUUUUGAAAUAAUUUUGUAUCUCUCUUCUGAUUGAUGAAAUCAAGAAGCUGUCAAAAAAUCUCAAAGGAAACAUCUUUUUGGGGGUAAUUUCUGUUUGUUUUUCACAUGCACUUUGUUGAAACCAUGUUUGUUUGUCAAGCCAUGAGGAUACAGGAUACUGGUGUACAGUUACUUCAUUUGAAAGUGUUAGUUCAGCUGAAUAGCUUUCUGUCUUUUAGUGGUCACCUUUCAUAAUAAGUGCUUGCAUCUCACUGUUUACAACUAAACAAAAGUGUUCUGAAGGUAGGAGACUGUGGUAGGAGGGCGAAAUGCUUGUCUUCAAACAUGCCAAUACUAGUAACAUGGCCAGUAUGGUUGUUAAUACAAAGAUAACACAAAGGACUUGCAUUUGUCUUAGGGUAAUUUUGAAUAACUGCUUUCUAUUUGCCGUCUUUUGCUCUUCUUGCUUAAUGUACGCCUUCUUCUGGAUAUUCUGGAUGUAUUUGCGGAUGAGGUGAAGUGAAAAUAAUUGAUUGACAGUUGUAUAAUGACUGGAAUGAAGUUUAAUGGCAGAUAAACACAGAGAGUGUAGGCAGCUGUUUGGAUCUUAUUAUGUGGGCAAAAGAGUUGAUCUAGUUAACCAACUAAUUAUAGCUAAACUACCACGCCAACACUGAAGUAGGCACCUAAGAAGGAAACAUUUAUGUUACCAAUAAAGCCUUUUUGGUUUGUUAUGAUCCUGACUCAAACGACUUUAGUGGAGUCGAGUCAGUGGAGAAAUCAUUGUGAACGUCUAGCCAGGGAUCAUAGAUGGGGACUUGCGGCCUUGUGAAGACCAGUUUUCUGAGGUCUGGUUAAAGCCUCAGUUUAGUCAUUACAAUUCUGUCGCUAAGCACUAAGUCUUCAGUGGACAGCGCACUGGUCCAAAUCUGCUGUUAUGUCUGUGCUUCAUAACUGAGGAAACUUGGCAUUAAGAGCAUUAAGAGUCAAAAAUACAAUCAUGAUGUUCCUAUAUAAUUUGUUCAUUUCAACGUUUUCAUAAUAUAAUAAUAAUUAAAUAAAAUAAAUACAUAAUAAUAUAAUGUUAGUUGAUUUUUCGGCUGCUCCCUACGUGUGUGAGGGGUCGCCACAGCGGCCCAAUUGGUCCGCACAUCAACUUGGCACAGGUUUUUACACCAGAUGCCCUUCCUGACACAACCCUCCCAUUUUAUCCGGGCUUGGGACCGGCACUACAUCUAGUGGCCGGGGUCGGGCACUGGCUGGGAAUCGAACCCGGGCCGGGAAUCAGACAAGAAACCUACCACUGAGCCACCAGUGCCCCUAAUAAUAAUAAUAUAAUAAACAUUAUUAUUAUUAUUAUUAUUAUUAUUAUUAUUAUUAUUAUUAUUAUUAUUAUACUCACCAUAAUAUAUGUAAUUAGAGUACCUUCUGAAAACUUGGCUUGUAUAACCACUGAAGUGCCUGAAAAUGUCAAAAAUGUGAGUACAGUUCAGUUACAAUAAACUGAUGUAAAAUCCUAAUUUGGACUACAGACUGAAAGAAAUCCCCACUACCUGAUGCAUAUUACAUUUGAACAUUACGUAUAUGUCUUAUAAAGGCACAUUGGUCCAGCAACUGCAGACUGUCUUGCACGAGUAUCUCUUCUCCUACACCCAGGCACCAUUUUUACCCCCUGACAGUUAAUGUGGACCCGUCUAUCUUUUAAUUAAAUGAAUCUCACUUAUACAUAGAAUUGCCAUUCAUUUUGAUAUAGACACACCCAAAGACUGAAGAUCACAUUUACCUCAGUUUUAAAAGGAAACUCAAGGCUCAGCUGUCUGUGUCAAUAUUCUAGCAUAUUUGAAUGGCAGGCCUUUGCAUAUCCUCUUAAAUUUCGGGAUUGUGUUUAAGAGACCAACAGCUAAGCCUUUAAAUGUAAAUGUGUGACGUAUGGAUCUCAGUUUGGUGAUGGAUGUGUGGUUAAGCACCGGGUUUGUUUGAAUGGGGGGUGGAGUUGAAGAGUAACAAAC